AUACGGAGGGUGCAAGCGUUACUCGGAAUCACUGGGCGUAAAGCGCGCGCAGGCGGCUAUUUAAGUUGGAUGUGAAAGCCUACGGCUCAACCGUAGAACUGCAUCCAAAACUAUUUAGCUAGAGUGUGGGAGAGGAAGAUGGAAUUAGUUGUGUAGGGGUAAAAUCCGUAGAGAUAUCUACGAAUACCAAAAGCGAAGGCAAUCUUCUGGAACACUACUGACGCUGAGGCGCGAAAGCGUGGGGAGCAAACGGGAUUAGAUACCCUAGUAGUCC
rnacentral:rRNA from 1 species